rnacentral:rRNA from 1 species
UACGUAGGGGGCAAGCGUUGUCCGGAAUCAUUGGGCGUAAAGCGCGUGUAGGCGGCUCGAUAAGUCUGCUGUGAAAGUCCAGGGCUCAACCCUGGGAUGCCGGUGGAUACUGUCGAGCUCGAGUCCGGAAGAGGCGAGUGGAAUUCCUGGUGUAGCGGUGAAAUGCGCAGAUAUCAGGAGGAACACCAAUGGCGAAGGCAGCUCUCUGGGACGGUACUGACACUGAGACGCGAAAGCGUGGGGAGCGAACAGG